rnacentral:sRNA from 1 species
GCAGAACCCUUCCAGUGUCCCUGUGCAAGCCCAGGCUACCAGUGUUGGGACCCAGCCGCCUGCCGUGUCCGUGGCCAGCUCCCACAACAGCUCCCCCUAUCUCAGCAGCCAGCAACAGGCCGCUGUAAUGAAGCAGCAUCAGUUGCUUUUGGACCAACAGAAACAAAGGGAGCAGCAGCAAAAGCAUUUACAGCAACAGCAGUUCCUUCAGAGGCAACAGCACCUUCUCGCGGAACAGGAGAAGCAACAGUUUCAGCGCCAUCUGACCCGCCCACCACCCCAGUACCAAGACCCGACACAAGGCAGCUUCCCACAGCAGGUUGGACAGUUCACAGGGUCCUCUGCUGCCGUGCCCGGCAUGAACACCUUGGGUCCAUCCAACUCCAGCUGUC